AAGUGUACAGGCAGAGAUGAAUGUGUGUGGCUUUAGCAGAUCCACACUCAUCCAGGGAUAACUGGACCAUGGGGGCAGGGUGGGAGUGGAGAGAAGUCAUCAUAGGAUGGUAAUCAGGUGCUUGCAGGGAGAAGAGAAGGAAAAGCAGAUGAGUGAACAAGGGCAGAUGGUGCUGGAGAAUUCCAUCAAGUGGGCAUCAAGAAGGGACUGGAGGUUAAAACCUUUGGGAUAAAGAAGAAGAAAAAAAGACAAGCUGGUAAAAAGUAAGGUCUGGGGGGUGGAGGCAAGAAGGGGAGUUGCUAAAAACUCUAGAAUAAGCAGUAAGACAUCUUUCAAUAAAACUGCCCCUUCCCAGAUGGCACCUGGGCACUGUUUGCUGGGCACAAACAUGGCACUGUUUCCUAGGAGAUGAUUCCUCCAGUUCUUUAAGGUAGUAAUGAAUGACAACAAGAAGUUACUUCUCUAUGCUACACACGGUGUAGAAUCCAGAGCCUGACUGGCUGUGACGCGCCCAUGGUGACACCAAGGGGACUCUGCAUGGGCACAUCCCGGCCCUCCUCCCUGCAUGUUCUCCAAGCCAGGUCUUUGAAACCUCCAGUGAUGGGAAUGACAGAAUCUGGGAUGAUUUUCUUCUGUUUCUUAUCUAAAAAAACAACAAAAAGCUCAGCAUACACGGACUCACACAAACCUUUUGCUAGAGGCAGCUCUGUAGACUUAAGACGCUGUCAUUUUUCAGAAGAACCCAGCUUGCUUUGGAACUACAGUCAGCCCUGCAACCCACCCUCACCUUGGACCCUGCUGCUGCUGUCUGUAAAGGGUCUGGAUGAAGGAAGGGAGCCUCCAGCUUGUCGGCUGUACUUGCCCAGAAUUUAGCCUUUGCAACAUGGAGCUGCGGGGAUGGGAAAUGUUGUCCACUAGCCUUCCGUAGACAAUGCUGCGAUGAAUACACCUGUGCAUUCUUUUUUAGAACAAGUGUAAGAAUUCCUAUGUGGCUGGACGGUACUGCUGCCAUCUCGGCUCACUGCAACCUCC
rnacentral:lncRNA from 1 species